CCUACGGGGGGCAGCAGUGGGGAAUAUUGCACAAUGGCGGAAACCCUGAUGCAGCGACGCCGCGUGAAGGAAGACGUAUUUCGGUAUGUAAACUUCUAUCAGCAGGGAAGCAAAUGACGGUACCUGACUAAGAAGCACCGGCUAACUACGUGUCAGCAGCCGCGGUAAUACGUAGGGGGCCAGCGUUAUCCGGAUUGACUGGGUGUAAAGGGAGCGUAGGCGGUGCAGAAAGUCAGAAGUGAAAGCCCGGGGGUCAACUCCGGGACUGCGUUUGAAACUGUUGAACGAGAUUGCAGGAGAGGUAAGUGGAAUUCCUGGUGUAGCGGUGAAAUGCGUAGAUAUUAGGAGGAACACCAGUGGCGAAGGCAGCUUACUGGAGUGUAAAUGACGCUGAGGCUCGAAAGCGUGGGGAGCGAACAGGAUUAGAUACCCCUGUAGUC
rnacentral:rRNA from 1 species